GAUGAAGUCAGUGGAAGGAUUUAUGAUUAGUUGGCUAGUCUAGUUUAUGCCUAGUCUUCUUUGAUCUGACUUGAUGAAGUCAGUGGAAGAAUUGAGAUUAACUGGUCAAGUCUUAUCUCAUCUUUCAUUUUAUUUAAUUAAAUCUUCUAAAAUUAUUAGGUCUCUAAAAAUAAAAUAGUUAUGAUGAUAAUUAGGUCAUAACCUCUCAUUA
rnacentral:lncRNA from 1 species